rnacentral:rRNA from 1 species
GAUGAACGCUGGCGGCGUGCCUAAUACAUGCAAGUCGAGCGAACGGACGAGAAGCUUGUUUCUCUGAUGUUAGCGGCGGACGGGUGAGUAACACGUGGAUAACCUACCUAUAAGACUGGGAUAACUUCGGGAAACCGGAGCUAAUACCGGAUAAUAUUUUGAACCGCAUGGUUCAAAAGUGAAAGACGGCCUUGCUGUCACUUAUAGAUGGAUCCGCGCUGCAUUAGCUAGUUGGUAAGGUAACGGCUUACCAAGGCAACGAUGCGUAGCCGACCUGAGAGGGUGAUCGGCCACACUGGAGCUGAGACACGGUCCAGACUCCUACGGGAGGCAGCAGUAGGGAAUCUUCCGCAAUGGGCGAAAGCCUGACGGAGCAACGCCGCGUGAGUGAUGAAGGUCUUCGGAUCGUAAAACUCUGUUAUUGGGGAAGAACAGAUGUGUAUGUAACUGUGCACAUCUUGACGGUACCUAAUCAGAAAGCCACGGCUAACUACGUG